rnacentral:rRNA from 1 species
UGGGGAAUAUUGGACAAUGGGCGAAAGCCUGAUCCAGCCAUGCCGCGUGUGUGAAGAAGGUCUUCGGAUUGUAAAGCACUUUAAGUUGGGAGGAAGGGCAGUAAGCGAAUACCUUGCUGUUUUGACGUUACCGACAGAAUAAGCACCGGCUAACUCUGUGCCAGCAGCCGCGGUAAUACAGAGGGUGCAAGCGUUAAUCGGAAUUAUUGGGCGUAAAGCGCGCGUAGGUGGUUCGUUAAGUUGAAUGUGAAAGCCCCGGGCUCAACCUGGGAACUGCAUCCAAAACUGGCGGGCUAGAGUAGGGCAGAGGGUGGUGGAAUUUCCUGUGUAGCGGUGAAAUGCGUAGAUAUAGGAAGGAACACCAGUGGCGAAGGCGACCACCUGGGCUCAUACUGACACUGAGGUGCGAAAGCGUGGGGAGCAAACAGG